UACGGAGGAUGCGAGCGUUAUCCGGAUUUAUUGGGUUUAAAGGGUGCGUAGGCGGGGCAUUAAGUCAGCGGUGAAAGUUUGCGGCUCAACCGUAAAAUUGCCAUUGAAACUGAUGUUCUUGAGUGCAGUAGAGGUAGGCGGAAUGUGUGGUGUAGCGGUGAAAUGUAUAGAUAUCACACAGAACACCGAUUGCGAAGGCAGCUUACUGGAGUGCAACUGACGCUGAGGCACGAUAGCGUGGGGAUCGAAC
rnacentral:rRNA from 1 species